rnacentral:rRNA from 1 species
AUUGAACGCUGGCGGCAGGCCUAACACAUGCAAGUCGAGCGGCAGCACGGGUACUUGUACCUGGUGGCGAGCGGCGGACGGGUGAGUAAUGCCUAGGAAUCUGCCUGGUAGUGGGGGAUAACGCUCGGAAACGGACGCUAAUACCGCAUACGUCCUACGGGAGAAAGCAGGGGACCUUCGGGCCUUGCGCUAUCAGAUGAGCCUAGGUCGGAUUAGCUAGUUGGUGAGGUAAUGGCUCACCAAGGCGACGAUCCGUAACUGGUCUGAGAGGAUGAUCAGUCACACUGGAACUGAGACACGGUCCAGACUCCUACGGGAGGCAGCAGUGGGGAAUAUUGGACAAUGGGCGAAAGCCUGAUCCAGCCAUGCCGCGUGUGUGAAGAAGGUCUUCGGAUUGUAAAGCACUUUAAGUUGGGAGGAAGGGCAGUUACCUAAUACGUAUCUGUUUUGACGUACCGAC